rnacentral:rRNA from 1 species
GACGAACGCUGGCGGCGUGCUUAACACAUGCAAGUCGAACGGAAAGGCCCGGCUUUUGCGGGGUGCUCGAGUGGCGAACGGGUGAGUAAAACGCGAGUAACCUGCCCUUGUCUGUGUGAUAUCUCCUGGAAACAGGGGCGAAUAUCGGAUAGGAGCUCCUGCUGCAUGGGGGGGGAUGGAAAGUUUCGGCGGUUGGGGAUGGACUCGCGGCUUAUCAGCUUGAUGGGGGGGUAGUGGCGUACCAAGGGUAUGACGGGUAGCCGGCCUUGGAGGGGGACCGGCCUCAUUGGGCCUGCGAUACGGCCCAGACUCCUACGGGCCGCAGCGGUGGGGAGUUUUGCACAACAGGCGGAAGCCUGAUGCGGCAACGCCGCGUGCGUGAUGACCGCCUUCUGGUUGUAAACCGCUUUCUCCUUUGCCGAACCGUGCGUGACGGUAAUUGGUAAAGAAGCCCCGGCUAACUACGUG